rnacentral:rRNA from 1 species
GUGAGGAAUAUUGCGCAAUGGAGGCAACUCUGACGCAGCCAUGCCGCGUGCAGGAAGAAGGCGCUACGCGUUGUAAACUGCUUUUAACCGGGAAGAAACCCCAGGACGUGUCCUGGGUUGACGGUACCGGAGGAAUAAGCACCGGCUAACUUCGUGCCAGCAGCCGCGGUAAUACGAAGGGUGCAAGCGUUAUCCGGAUUCAUUGGGUUUAAAGGGUGCGUAGGCGGAGCGUUAAGUCAGUGGUGAAAUCCUGCAGCUUAACUGUAGAAUUGCCAUUGAUACUGGCGCUCUUGAGUGCGCUUGAAGUGGGCGGAAUGUGCCGUGUAGCGGUGAAAUGCUUAGAUAUGGCACAGAACACCAAUUGCGAAGGCAGCUCACUAAGGCGAUACUGACGCUGAGGCACGAAAGCGUGGGGAUCGAACAGGAUUAGAAACCCUGGUAGUCC